AUAGGAAUAGGGUCAAAAGAGACAUUCUUCCUCUCAAAAUUUUAUUGGUGAUGAUUGUUGUUGUUGUAGUUGGUUCUUUAUUGCGGUUGUUGAUGAUGUUAUUGAAAAAAACCAUAGUUAUUGAUGAAACUUGGUCUUGAUGUUGACGAGGUUGAGAACUCUUCCUGACAUGAGGCCUCAUCUUCCUCCCCACUGAUACUGAAUUAGUUUCUCCUUCCUUCCUCUUGGAGAAAUG
rnacentral:lncRNA from 1 species